CCUACGGGAGGCAGCAGUGGGGAAUAUUGGGCAAUGGGCGCAAGCCUGACCCAGCAACGCCGCGUGAAGGAAGAAGGCUUUCGGGUUGUAAACUUCUUUUAAGAGGGAAGAGCAGAAGACGGUACCUCUUGAAUAAGCCAUGGCUAACUACGUGCCAGCAGCCGCGGUAAUACGUAGGUGGCAAGCGUUGUCCGGAUUUACUGGGUGUAAAGGGUGUAUAGCCGGGCAGACAAGUUAGAUGUGAAAUCCCGUGGCUAAACCACGGAACUGCAUUUGAAACUGUCGGUCUUGAGUAUCAGAGAGGCAGGCGGAAUUCCUAGUGUAGCGGUGAAAUGCGUAGAUAUUAGGAAGAACUCCGGUGGCGAAGGCAGCCUGCUGGACGACAACUGACGGUGAGGCGCGAAAGCGUGGGGAUCAAACAGGAUUAGAUACCCCGGUAGUC
rnacentral:rRNA from 1 species